rnacentral:rRNA from 1 species
AAAAAAAAAAUUUUUUUUUUGGGGGCACCCUUUAAAAAUAUUUUAAAAAAUUUUUGGGGGGGUUUUAAAGAGAGGGCCCAUGCGUUUUUUUUUAAAUUUUUUGGGGUGGGGUAAAAAAGUUUCCCCAAGAAUUUGAAAAGAAUAGGGGGCCGGAAAAGGGGGAUUCCCCCCACACUGGGUAUUGAGACCCGGCCCAGAUUCCUACCGGGAGGCAGCAGUGAGGAUUAUUGCACCAUGGAGGAAACUUUGAAGCAGCCAAUGCCGGGUGCAGGAUGACGGCCCUUAUGGGUUGUAAACUGCUUUUUUACAAGAAGAAAACCUUGGUACGUGUACCAACUUGACGGUAUUGUAAGAAUAAGCACCGGCUAACUCCGUGCCAGCAGCCGCGGUAAUACGGAGGGUGCAAGCGUAUUCCGGAUUUAUUAGGUUAAAGGGUUCGCAGGCGGAAUUUAAGUCAGUGGUGAAAGCCUACAGCUCAACUGUAGAACUGCCAUUGAAACUGAUAUUCUUGAGUAUAGAUGAAGUGGGCGGAAUAUGUCAUGUAGCGGUGAAAUGCAUAGAUAUGACAUGGAACACCAAUUGCGAAGGCAGCUCACUAAACUAUUACUGACGCUCAUGAACGAAAGCGUGGGGAGCGAACAGGAUUAGAUACCCUGGUAGUCCACGCCGUAAACUAUGAUCACUAGAUGUUGGCGAUAUACUGUCAGUGUUUUAGAGAAAUCGUUAAGUGAUCCACCUGGGGAGUACGUUCGCAAGAAUGAAACUCAAAGGAAUUGACGGGGGCCCGCACAAGCGGAGGAACAUGUGGUUUAAUUCGAUGAUACGCGAGGAACCUUACCAAGGCUUAAAUGUAGAUUGACAGAUUGUGAAAACAGUUUUUCUUCGGACAAUUUACAAGGUGCUGCAUGGUUGUCGUCAGCUCGUGCCGUGAGGUGUCGGGUUAAGUCCCAUAACGAGCGCAACCCCUAUUUUUAGUUGCCAGCGAGUAAUGUCGGGAACUCUAGAAAGACUGCCUGUGUAAACAGUGAGGAAGGUGGGGAUGACGUCAAAUCAUCACGGCCCUUAUGUCUUGGGCUACACACGUGUUACAAUGGUUACUACAGUGGGCUGCCAUCUGGCAACAGAGAGCAAAUCCAUAAAGGUAAUCCCAGUUCGGAUCGGAGUCUGCAACUCGACUCUGUGAAGUUGGAUUCGCUAGUAAUCGAUAUCAGCAAUAUAUUGAAUGCGGCUGUCUUUCC